GACGUAGGAUGCAAGCGUUGUCCGGAUUUAUUGGGCGUAAAGAGUUCGUAGGCGGUUCGUUAAGUCUGAUGUUAAAGAUCGGGGCUCAACCCUGGGAGUGCAUUGGAUACUGGCGAACUGGAGUGCGGUAGAGGCAAGUGGAAUUCCCAGUGUAGCGGUGAAAUGCGUAGAUAUUGGGAAGAACACCGGUGGCGUAGGCGACUUGCUGGGCCGUAACUGACGCUGAGGAACGAAAGCCAGGGGAGCGAAUGGG
rnacentral:rRNA from 1 species